GUCUCGGUGGUGUAGUGGAAGUCCGUCGAACUCCGAUUCCGAGUGACGCCGGUUCAAGUCUUGUCUGAGGCG